rnacentral:rRNA from 1 species
UACGAAGGACCCGAGCGUUAUCCGGAUUUAUUGGGUUUAAAGGGUGCGUAGGCGGAUUUAUAAGUCAGUGGUGAAAUCUCCCCGCUCAACGGGGAAACUGCCAUUGAAACUAUUUAUCUUGAGUACAUUUGAGGCGGGCGGAAUGUGUCAUGUAGAGGUGAAAUUCUUAGAUAUGACACAGAACACCAAUUGCGAAGGCAGCUCGCUAAACUGUAACUGACGCUGAGGCACGGAAGCGUGGGGAUCAAACAGG